rnacentral:tRNA from 1 species
UGGGUAGUAGCCAAGUCGGUAAGGCACGGGACUUUGACUCCCGGAUGCGUAGGUUCGAGUCCUGCCUACCCAGCCA